rnacentral:lncRNA from 1 species
AUGUGCGUGUAUUGAUAUGUGUGUACAUAUGUUAUGCAUGUGAAAUGUAUAACCAGUAUAUGUACGUGUGGAAUUUGAGUAUAUUGCACUUGCUGUGUGAUCUGAUACAGGAUAAUUCAGAAAGUGGUUUGAAAUGUAUGACUCUGAUAUGUGUGAUGAUAUCGCAUAUUAUGUGUGUGUUUCUAUUUAAUUGUGUGUAGAAGUUAGGACCUUAAAUUAAUAUAGAUUUUGAAUUUUUAAAUAAGAAACUGUAUAAGUUGAAUAGAUCUAGAAAACAAACACUAAAGAAAUAGAGAAGUAUAAGUUAGUUAGAGAAAUAGGUUGAAUAAGCCAUAGCAAGGUAAAUAUAUGAAAUAGUUAUAAAAAUAGGGAAAUUAGGUAAAUUUGGAAACAAGGUGUGUAGCAAGUAGAUAAAAGAAUGAGAGAAACUUUUGAUAACAAAAUACAAAAGCUAUGAAGAAUAAAUAAGACACUUAAUUCGUUAGCCAUGAAUCGAGGAUGGGAGGGUGUGUGUGUGGCUGAAGUUCAGUGGGUAUGGUGUACCUGCACAUGGAUAGUUAUUUGAAACCUAGUCCAGACGUGGAUUAGUAUUUAUAAGCGUGUGGAUCACCUAACAAACAUAACUGCUAUGACCAAUGUGAGAUUGUGUGUCCUAUCCAUGCAAUGGAGGGGGAUCCUUUUUGCCUCUCCUCGAUAGCGAUAUAACAGGCAUUGUGCAAUGGUAACCUAAAUAAGCUUUAAAAGAUUAAAUAAUGGAAAUUAUAAAUCCAAGUGGACUGAUGUGUGUGUGAGUGAAUCCAUUUUAGUUUGAGGAAUCUAUGAAUCUAUAAGUGUGAUUUGAAAUGAGAACUAGAAUUAGAUUAGAAGAGUGAGGAUUAGAAAAUGCUUUAUGUGAUGAUUUGUUUGAUAAUUUUUUUUAUUAUAAAUAUUAUUAUAUUUUAUAUAUUACGUGAAUACGUGCAUGUAAGUCUCUGUUAUAGAAUCUUUUUCUUAUUGAACUUGUGAAGCUCACCCCAAUUCACCUACAACCAUGUCAGAGGAGAUGAGAAACAAGUCCAAGAUCAAUAGAAGAUGGUGAAGGAAACUUUACUAGUUUUGAUUUUAAAAUUGUAAAUUAAUUUAGAUGCCUCAAAAUAAUUAUCUUGUCACAAGUGAUGUAUAUUAAAGUAUAGUUCUGUUGCAUAUUUAAUAUUUAUCGGUUCCAUUAAUUAGAAAUAUUGUGUAAAUGUCUAUACCACCGACAUUGGAGUUCGGGCUGUUACAUAUAAUAUAUAAUAUAUAAUUUUAUAUUAUAAUAUUUUAGAUUUAAAUUAAAAUUAUAUGUAUACAUUUUAUAAUUAUUAGCAUUUAAUAUAAUAAUUAAGACAUUUAGUAUGUAUAUAUAUAAUUAGCAUUUCCUAAUAAUUAAG